GCACCUAAAUAAAUAAAAUAAAAAGGAGGGAGGGUGGCACAAUGAAUAUCCCACAGAAACUAAUUGUUCAAUGACAACAGAUUAAAAUAUUCAAAACCAGUUUUGCACUCCAAUAUUUCCUUACGACAGACAGUUGAAUCAUCACCAUGGAAUUUGUUUCUUUUGAAAAACAAAUGCCUUGUUCUGGUGAGUCAUGCCAUAGAUUUAGUCCAAAUGGACAAAACAUGAUACUCACCAGGAUAAUGAGUUCAAUCACCAACUUUCUUUCUUCAUAUUCUGAGCAUAAUCUAAUCGCCUAAUCAUCAAAAUAACUUAUCAAGUACCAAGCCCUGUUGUUUUACAAAUGGGGCACCAA
rnacentral:misc_RNA from 1 species